GUGAUUGGCCUCUGGCCUCAUCAUAUCCUGACACCUCUGUGCACUGUUGGCCCUUGGGCCCUUACAAAACUUGGUGUAAUGAACGUCAUCAUACAUAACAUAACA
rnacentral:misc_RNA from 1 species